AUACGGAGGGUGCGAGCGUUAAUCGGAAUUACUGGGUUUAAAGGGUCCGUAGGCGGCUAGAUAAGUCAGUGGUGAAAUUCUCUCGCUCAACGAGAGACCUGCCAUUGAUACUGUCUUGGCUAGAGUUACAGUGAGGUGUGUGGAAUGUGUAGUGUAGCGGUGAAAUGCAUAGAUAUUACACAGAACACCGAUUGCGAAGGCAGCUCACUAACUGUAUACUGACGCUGAUGGACGAAAGCGUGGGGAGCAAACAGGAUUAGAAACCCUAGUAGUCC
rnacentral:rRNA from 1 species